rnacentral:rRNA from 1 species
GACGAACGCUGGCGGCGUGCUUAACACAUGCAAGUCGAACGGAAAGGCCCCCAUCUUGGUGGGGGUGCUCGAGUGGCGAACGGGUGAGUAACACGUGGGUGAUCUGCCCUGUACUUCGGGAUAAGCUUGGGAAACUGGGUCUAAUACCGGAUAGGACCAUGGUUUAGUGUCUCAUGGUGGAAAGAUUAUUGUUUUGGUGCAGGUUGAGCUCGCGGCCUAUCAGCUUGUUGGUGGGGUAAUGGCCUACCAAGGCGUCGACGGGUAGCCGGCCUGAGAGGGUGGACGGCCACAUUGGGACUGAGAUACGGCCCAGACUCCUACGGGAGGCAGCAGUCGGGAAUAUUGCACGAUGGGCGCAAGCCUGAUGCAGCGACGCCGCGUGGGGGAUGACGGCCUUCGGGUUGUAAACUCCUUUCGUUAGGGACGAAGCCACGCUUUUGGGGUGUGGUGACGGUACCUUUGUGAAGAAGCACCGGCUAACUACGUG